GAGGCUCAGGGAACAUCAGAAGUGCAGGGCCUGUCCUUUGAAGAUAAAGUCUGGCUAGAUCAGCUUUUCAGCGAAAGAAGCUAACGUCUGCAGACAGAUCUUUAUCUUUGGUGAGCCCAUCACAGAUCCCAGGUUUAGGAUGGGGGCUAGAAUGAAGGGAAAAAGCCAAUUAUCACCCUAUAAGAAGUAGAUAGGCUGGGGGCGGUGGCUGACGCCUGUAAUCCCAGCAUUUUGGGAGGCCGAGGUGGAUGAAUCACUUGAGGUCAGGAGUUCAAGACCAGCCUGGCAACAUGGUGAAACCCUGUCUCUACUAAAUAUACAAAAAUUAGUCAGGCAUGGUGGCCAGCGCCUGUGAUCCCAGUUACUCAGGAGGCUGAGGCAGGAGAAUCGCUUGAAGCCAAGAGGCCGAGGUUGUAGUAAUCCGAGAUUAUGCCACUGUACUCCAGCCUAGGUGACACAACGAGACUCCAUCUCAAAAAAAAAAGAGUCUGGUGGCAGGGUCUGGGGAAGGGGCGGCAGGCGCCAUGUCUAGCCGUGAAGAUGGCAAGAAGAAGUCACUGAAACAGCCUAAGAAGCAGGCCAAGGAGAUGGACGAGGAAGAUAAGGCUUUCAAGCAGAAACAAAAAGAGGAGCAGAAGAAACUCGAGGAGCUAAAAGCGAAGGCUGCGGGGAAGGGGCCCUUGGCCACAGGUGGAAUUAAGAAAUCUGGCAAAAAGUAAGCUGUUCCUCGUGCCUGAGGAGACGGUGACCCUUUAUUUCAUCCUUAUUUAAACAUCUAUAUUCCCUGCCGUAACAUCUUUUGCCAUCUAAAGCUGGAAUUAAGUGUUGUCUUGGAGCUGUUGUACAUUUAAGAAUAAACUUUUGUUAAAAAAAAAAAAAA